rnacentral:rRNA from 1 species
CCUACGGGUGGCAGCAGUGGGGGAUAUUGCACAAUGGGGGGAACCCUGAUGCAGCGACGCCGCGUGGGUGAAGGAGCGUUUCGGCGCGUAAAGCCCUAUCGGCAGGGAAGAAGAUGACGGUACCUGACCAAUAAGCCCCGGCUAACUACUUGCCAGCAGCCGCGGUAAUACGUCGGGGUCAAGCGUUAUCCGGAUUUACUGGGUGUCAAGGGGGCGCAGACGGCAAUGCAAGCCAGGAAUGAAAGCCCGGGGGCCAACCCCGGGACUGCUCUAGGAACUGCAUGGCUGGAGUACAGGAGGGGCAAGCGGAAUUCCAAGGGUAGCGGUGAAAGGGGGAGAUAUUAGGAGGAAGACCGGUGGCGAAGGCGGC